rnacentral:rRNA from 1 species
UGUCAGCAGCCGCGGUAAUACGAAGGGUGCAAGCGUUAAUCGGAAUUACUGGGCGUAAAGGGUGCGUAGGCGGUUUGUUAAGUCUGUCGUGAAAUCCCCGGGCUCAACCUGGGAAUGGCGAUGGAUACUGGCAAGCUAGAGUGUGUCAGAGGAUGGUGGAAUUUCCGGUGUAGCGGUGAAAUGCGUAGAGAUCGGAAGGAACAUCAGUGGCGAAGGCGGCCAUCUGGGACAACACUGACGCUGAAGCACGAAAGCGUGGGGAGCAAACAGGAUUAGAUACCCUGGUAGUCCACGCCCUAAACGAUGCGAACUGGAUGUUGGUCUCAACUCGGAGAUCAGUGUCGAAGCUAACGCGUUAAGUUCGCCGCCUGGGGAGUACGGUCGCAAGACUGAAACUCAAAGGAAUUGGCGG